UACAGAGGUGGCAAGCGUUGUUCGGAAUUACUGGGCGUAAAGGGCGCGUAGGCGGCCUUGUAAGUCCUGUGUGAAAUCCCCCGGCUCAACUGGGGAACUGCACAGGAGACUGCUUGGCUUGAGUUCGGGAGAGGAAAGCGGAAUUCCGGGUGUAGCGGUGAAAUGCGUAGAUAUCCGGAGGAACACCAGUGGCGAAGGCGGCUCACUGGCCCGGUACUGACGCUGAGGUGCGAAAGCGUGGGGAGCAAACAGG
rnacentral:rRNA from 1 species